GUGGGGAAUAUUGGACAAUGGGCGAAAGCCUGAUCCAGCCAUGCCGCGUGUGUGAAGAAGGUCUUCGGAUCGUAAAGCCCUUUCGACAGGGACGAUGAUGACGGUACCUGUAGAAGAAGCCCCGGCUAACUUCGUGCCAGCAGCCGCGGUAAUACGAAGGGGGCUAGCGUUACUCGGAAUUACUGGGCGUAAAGGGCGCGUAGGCGGCUCUGUUAGUCAGGCGUGAAAUUCCUGGGCUUAACCUGGGGACUGCGCUUGAUACUGCAGGGCUUGAGGCCGAGAGAGGGUGGUGGAAUUCCCAGUGUAGAGGUGAAAUUCGUAGAUAUUGGGAAGAACACCGGUGGCGAAGGCGACCACCUGGCUCGGUUCUGACGCUGAGGCGCGACAGCGUGGGGAGCAAACAGGAUUAGAAACCCGAGUAGUCC
rnacentral:rRNA from 1 species